rnacentral:lncRNA from 1 species
AAGGGCGUCGAGUCGGCGCUAGGCUGUCCGUCUCUCCGCUUGCCUCGUCCUCUGGUCUCGUCUGGUCAGUGGUGAUGCUCCUUCCAUCGGGAUCAGAUCGGGAAGUCCCAAAGACCACCAGGAAGCCGAUUCCGAUGUAAGCACACGAGGGCCGUUUAUUCAAGCUCGAGCAGGGGCUCCCAACCGUCACCGACGCAGCGGAUCAGAAUUGAGAGCCCCGAAUUUCAAAUUAGCGGGGUUUUUAUUGUGGUUACAGCAAGGGAAAUGAACGCUGGAUGUAAUAUUACUUUAAGCCACAUCUGAAAUGAAUUGGAAGAUCAAAAGACUACAUAAUGACAUCAAUUGGUGAGGACAUUGAGAUCCAAAGAAUGUUCAUAACUGAACACAAUGCGUCAGUGCUGGGAAUUAGAGAAAAUACAUGUUCUAGGAAGCAUGCAAAUUAUUUCAUUUUAUGUGGGCUUAACCAUGUAUGAAGUUAAAUUGUCUCAGUGAUUUUGUGAACUUGGCUUUCUUCAUCAUUAUCCCUCUUCCUGUCUGGGUAUCCCAAAAUAGCAGUAAAACUGUGAGAGCUAAAGAUAAAUGCAAAGACCUUGAAAACAUCCUAACAGUGUACAUAAUGUGCCAUGGACAGUGUUUCCUACUGAGGGAAUUUAGGAAAAGCCUAAGUCCUGCCCCAGAGUGAAAGGUCCCAAUUAUUUUUUUCUCUUAGAAAAGUGCCUUUUUGGUUCUCAUUUCAUA